AAUUCGAUUGAGUUUGAUCCUGGCUCAGAUUGAACGCUGGCGGCAUGCCUUACACAUGCAAGUCGAACGGCAGCACGGGAGCAAUCCUGGUGGCGAGUGGCGAACGGGUGAGUAAUACAUCGGAACGUGCCCAGUAGUGGGGGAUAACCCGGCGAAAGCCGGACUAAUACCGCAUACGACCUACGGGUGAAAGCAGGGGAUCGCAAGACCUUGCGCUAUCGGAGCGGCCGAUGUCAGAUUAGCUUGUUGGUGGGGUAAAAGCCUACCAAGGCGACGAUCUGUAGCUGGUCUGAGAGGACGACCAGCCACACUGGGACUGAGACACGGCCCAGACUCCUACGGGAGGCAGCAGUGGGGAAUUUUGGACAAUGGGCGCAAGCCUGAUCCAGCCAUGCCGCGUGCGGGAAGAAGGCCUUCGGGUUGUAAACCGCUUUUGUCAGGGAAGAAACGCUCCGGGCUAAUACCUUGGAGUAAUGACGGUACCUGAAGAAUAAGCACCGGCUAACUACGUGCCAGCAGCCGCGGUAAUACGUAGGGUGCAAGCGUUAAUCGGAAUUACUGGGCGUAAAGCGUGCGCAGGCGGCUUUGCAAGGCAGAUGUGAAAUCCCCGGGCUUAACCUGGGAACUGCAUUUGUGACUGCAUGGCUGGAGUGCGGCAGANGGGGAUGGAAUUCCGCGUGUAGCAGUGAAAUGCGUAGAUAUGCGGAGGAACACCGAUGGCGAAGGCAAUCCCCUGGGCCUGCACUGACGCUCAUG
rnacentral:rRNA from 1 species